UGGAAACAUGCUUCCUGGCUAAAUAUACAUCUUAGUGUCUAACCCAUGUCUCGGAGUCUAUGAUGACCUGUGUUCCUGAAGUGAAGUCCCACUUUGAACCUGGCAAAGGAGGAGCCUCAGCAGUCCCCAGUAGCCUCCGUCCUCCCCCUCACGACUCAGGAAGUCCAGUCUGAGUGGUCCUCACACAUGAAAAGCCAUGAAAUAUUAAUGCUUUGUUACUGACUCUGCUGCAAACACUUAGCAUAAGUCCCUUCCCAAUCAAUAAGCUUUGCAUUAUGCGUAAGAGUGGCACAAAGUCAGACUUGUCAUUGUCGUCUGGGUUACACGGUGGGAGGAACAGGAGCACGGACCAGAGAAAGACGCCAGUCUGGGAGGGUCGCACUCCCUUCUCUCAGUGUUUUUACUGCAGGACAAGUUCAAUCAGUGCCAGAGAACAGAAGUGUGUUACUCAUCAAACGACUCAAGACUUGGAGAAGCCCAAAGGUCAGUUUGAUUUUCCUCCUCUUUGAUGGUAAGGAAAGGGGAAUGGUGGAAUUUUAACAUAUUUUAUCUCUGUUUACAUAUAAGGAACACAUAGUCAUUUAGCCAAGUUGGAGAACGCAGAAACGUAUUAAAAUUAAAAUUUGUUGUCCAUUUAAACAGACUUUAUUUUUAGAAAUUUUAGGUUCACAACAAAAUUGAGUGGAAAGUGCACUGAGUUCCCAUACACCCCCUGCCCUGACACUUGCGUAGUCUCCUCCAUUGUCAGCAUCCUCCAUCACAAUGGUAUGUUUGUUACAAUCAAUGAACCUACACUGACACACCAUUAUCGCCCAGAAUCCAGAGUUUACAUUAAGGUUCACUCUUGGUGUUGUGAAUUUCUAUGGCUUUGGAGAAAUGUAUAACAAUGUAUCCACCAUUAUAGUAUCAUACUUAGUGUUUGACUGCCCUGAAAAUCCUCUGUGCUUUGCCUAUUUAUCCUCUUACUGUUGAGUUUCUUGUAGACAAUAUAUAGUUGUCCUGCUUUUUUUGUGGAUUACCCCUGAGCUGACAUCUGGCGCCGAUCCUCCUCUUUUCGCUGAGGAAGACUCGCCCUGAGCUAACAUUCGUGCCCAUCUUCCUCUACUUUAUAUGUGGGAUGCCUGCCACAGCAUGGCUUGACAAGAGGUGCGUUGGUCCACACCCGGGAUCUGGGCCUGGGAUCGGAACCGGUGAACCCCAGGCUGCCAAAGCGGAACGUGCGAACCCAACCGCAGCGCCACCAGGCUGGCCCCAGUUGUCUUGCUUUUUGAUUGAUUCUGUCGAUGUCUAUCUUUUAGUUGGUGUAUUUACACCAUUGACAUUUAAAGUGAUUAUCGAUAUAUUUGAAUUAAUACCUACUGUAUUUGUUUCUAUUGUCUACCCAUUGUCUUUGUUCUUUAUUCUUAUUUUUGUCUCCCACCUUUUUUCUGUUAUUUCUGGUUUUAACUGAACAUUUUAUAUGAUUGAUUUUUCUCUCCUUUCUUAGCUUCUUUUUUCACUUUUUUAGUGGUUGCCCUAGAUAAAAUUUGCAAUAUACAUUUACACCCAAGUCCACUUUCAAAUAACACUACACUCCUUCUCGGGUAGUACAAGUACUUUACAAUAACAAAAUGUUCUUAAUCCUUCCUCCUGUCCAUUCCUUAUACCUUGAAUCGAUGCUGUCACUCAUCUCACUUAUACAGAAACAUACGGAACUAUAUAUAUACUUAUAUAUGCAAUUGCAUAUGCUUGCAUAUUAUAUGUAUAAUACAUAAGCAUAUAUAACUGAAUACAUUGCUGCUAUUGUUAUUUUAAAUAAACUGUUAAGAAUAGAAAAAUAAGUUUUUAUUUACCUUCAUUUAUUCUUUCUCCAAGGCUCUUCCUUUUUAGAUCCUAUUUCUGACCUAUAUCAAUUUCCUUCUGUUGGAGGUCAUCGAGAGGGCGUGACUGAUGGUUGACCUGAGAGCUUGAGGUCCCUCCCCGCCGCCCUGUCCUUGGAACGUAUGCUCUGCCCACCAUUCCCACAGUAGGAUCUGUUUUCAAGGACAUAGCCUUGAGAAAGCAACGUGUUGUUGAGACCGUCUGGAUGGACUGAACCCAGUUAAGGCCUCUACUCGUCUUGCGACUGUACAAGGCAAACCUCAUAUGAAGCAUGAGGGGAUUUUUCUCCACUCCUCACACGAGAACCCGGUCAAGCCUCUGAAGGUAAAACUCACACAAGUGUGGAAACUCCUUAUAACUAGGUCCCCCUGGAGUUUUUAUCUGUGAGAUAAAAACUUCCUUGUUAGGAUGGAGUGGUGACUUCCCAGCUCCUUAUAUGCUGGACUGGAAACUAGAAGUCUCAGAAAUAUAUUUUUAAAAUGUCUGUAGCAUCCCAACAAGAU
ensembl:lncRNA